rnacentral:tRNA from 2 species
GCGGGCGUAGCUCAGUCGGCAGAGCUUUAUCGCGUGAAGGGAUAUGCGAUUGAAUACCCUUGGUCGCUGGUUCGAGUCCAGCCGCCCGUGCCA